rnacentral:rRNA from 1 species
UACGGAGGGGCGAGGCGUUGUCCGAAGUUACUGGCGUAAAGCGCGUGUAGGCGGGUUGUCAAGUCCGCUGUGAAAGCCCGGGGCUCACCCCCGGAAGUGCAUUGGAUACUGGCGGACUCGAGUCCCGGAGAUGGAGGGUGGAAGUUCCUGGUGUAGCGGUGAAAUGCGUAGAUAUCAGGAGGAACACCGGUGGCGAAGGCGGCCCUCUGGACGGUGACUGACGCUGGAGACGCGAAAGCGUGGGGAGCAAACAGG